GCCUGAUGCAGCCAUGCCGCGUGUAUGAAGAAGGCCUUCGGGUUGUAAAGUACUUUCAGCGGGGAGGAAGGUGUUGAGGUUAAUAACCUCGGCAAUUGACGUUACCCGCAGAAGAAGCACCGGCUAACUCCGUGCCAGCAGCCGCGGUAAUAA
rnacentral:rRNA from 1 species